rnacentral:lncRNA from 1 species
UUGCAUGUUCAGUAUACUGAUAAGAUCUGAAAUUCCAAAGUUCAGAGUCAAACUUUCCAGGGAUCCCUGAAUAUAAAAUGCUAAAUGGGUAAGUUCAAGUGUCUCAACUGUCAUCGGCCAUCAUUUCAGAUAUGCUUUCAUUUUUGCCAUCUGAUUCCAAUUUGACUAAGCAGGCAAAACUUAAAAGUUAAGUUAGUACCAGGUUUGCCUUUAUAUCAAAGAUUCAUAAAGUUUGGAUUAAAACAUCAAUUAGGGAUCAAGGGUGUUUUGCCUUGAUCACUGAUGAUCAACGGCUCAGAGGUCUUUCACAAAAUUGAGGCAAGAGUUCUCUGGACUUUCACAUCAAAAUGAGGAAUUAAAUGGGUAUCCAUAGUUCAAAUACCUAUUUUCUUUUCAAUUUAGUGAGCUAAAGAUGCAUGAACAUCAUUGUACCGUGUUUUUUUGUACCAAUUUACAUACCAUGAGCUACGCCGUUUCAUGAAAACAAGUGAAAAGAAUCUAAGAUAAGGAAGGUAGCUAAAAGAAAAUUGGUAAUAAGAGAACCCAACGAGAGAGCCCGUUUUAACUACAAAUGUGAUAUUCAUAAAUUUAGUGGAAGCUUUCUUUACUUCAGCUGUGACUUAACUCAAACUAUGAUGUACAACUAUGCAAUACUGAUACAGCUAAUGACAGAAUCCUGGCCUCAUGUCCAUUGAUAGUUCUCAACCACUAGACAGUUUCAACGGCUUUUUUAUUCCAGAUGCCGAAAAGGUUGAGAAUGAUAGAAAAGGACUGUAAAGAGACAAGCACCAGUAAUAAUGAAAGCAGAUACAAUCUGUAUGCACAAGAGCAGCACAAAUCAGAGGAAGCUGCAAAGGCGUCAUAUUUUAAGCAACCCCUCUGAGUAUCUAACCAUCUCCCAUAUCCAAAUGGGAGCCAGCAAAAGUACCAAAUGAUGUUGUUAUCUUUAAAAAAAAAAAAAACUACCAAAGAAUAUUAAAGUAAUUAACUGGUAUGAAAUACGGAGCAUCUGAAGUCUAAGUUGAAGAUGAGCAAUAAGAUUUACAAUCAAAUAACUCACAAGGCGAAAUUGCCUCAACAAAACAAAUUUUAUUUCCGGAAAGAUCCCUUAAGGCUCAAAGGGGACAACUAGGGAUACUUCAUGCAAAUUGUAGGCUUGGAAAACCUAUUAUCCAAUCCUAAAACAAGCAUUUCUACAAACAAUUAAAACAAAUCCUAGACAAAGUGUGCAAAGGAAUUUUCAUUAAGUCUCAUCGCACAUGGCACAUGUUAGAUUAGAUGGGUCCCUUCCAACUCACAAUCAAGAAUAAAUGAAACAAAAUCGCAUAAAUCAAACCACUACCAAGUAGUGAGCAAAGAGUAAACAAAUGACCAAGUGUCACUAAUAAGACCAUUUCUCUCAAUGUUAUCCACUUUUCCAGCAAAAAUUUAGGAGGGAUAUUCCACAAAUUUGAAAGAGUCUAAAUAGUGGUACCAGAAAAACAAGUUAUCCAAAGAGAGCAAUCCAACAAAAACACAUUUUUAUUCCCUAUUAGCUACCAACUACCCCUAAACACACCCGGUUCAAAAAAAUUACUUUUUUUGGAAAAGAACUGUGGCUUAAAAAAGGAAAAAAAUGUCAAAACCUUAUAGACUAAAGAUAUAACACAGUAUUCCAAAAUAUUAUCUCAUUAAUCACUCGGAGAACUAGUGAUAAUUUAACAUAUCAGACUACGAAUCACAGGAAAAAUAAGAGACAAUCCAUUUUAAGGGUUGACAAUUCAGCCAUGGGAUGAAGAUCAAAGUUACAGUGAGGGAACAGGCUUCAUAUGUAGAUUUAGUUACCACAUGAAAGAAUCUAAACAUCUAAUUGAAAUGGUAAAUCCAGGAAAAAACCAAGUACUUUUAAUACAUUAAUUCUAGCAAUGUUGCAUUUUUAAUUCCUAAAAGGUUCACAUAUAUGAGCUCUCACAUGCUAAUUGUAACAGCCUGGUAAACCGUUGCCAUGAGGCAGGUGCAAACUCGGCCCAUUGGCCUCCUCACAAACAAUUCUCCACCCUGCCCACCACCAACAGUGAAGAUGAACAUGUGACCUUGCUUUGAAGCUAAUUAAGAGAAUCCAAACACACAAUUCAAAAUGCUAAAGGCAAUAAGUGAAGUAGUUUAAGAUUUUAAUAACCUUUUCGGAUGCUCUUAUGCCCCUGAUGUGGAAUGUCAUAUAUCUCCGGCACAAACCACGCUUUCUUCCAUCUAACAAGUUGUUAGGAAAAUAUCAGAUGUUGAUGUUAAUCAAAACUUAGAAGUCCCCAUCAGAAAAUGAAUUCUACAUUAGCUAGUGGAACUCUUAGUAAUUGCAACACUACAAAACCCCUGACUAGGAUAUAUAUUUCAAUGUGUCUACUUGAAUGCAAAACCUAACUAGUAAAUAUGUGAUGUAAGCAAGCGCAGAUAACUACUUUUUCAAUCUAAAAGUUAGACAUAAUAAGUAGAAUACCUUGCAGAACCCCGACCUCUGAUGAAAAAAAAAAACAUUUAAUUGUAAACUUUGCAAAGAGUAUGACCACAAAGAAAUGAACAGAAAUAUUUGGAAGCUAAAUCUCAAUAUAUGCUACUCCCUCCAUCCCAAUUUUUAAUUUUUUUAAAUUAGUGUGGUGUCCGGGCUAGCUUUCACACACCUCGACUAAUUCCACGGGGUACCUGCCAACUCCCGCCAGCAAUAGGAACCAUGUAACUCUAUCGACCCCAUUCCAAUUUUACUCUUCAUAUUUGGGGAAUAUUUGAUACAAUUCCACCAAUGAUGCCAUUCUAUAAAACUUUCACAACUUUAAGAAGUUCGAAUUGACGAAUCUAUCAAAUUCUAUCUUUUGAAUGGUUUUCAAUCAAACUGAUUUCUUCAACUAGUACUUAGAUAUAUUUUUUCCUCUAAGAGGCAAGUCAAAUAAACACGUUAAACUCCAUAUCCUACAAAAUGAACCGGAGUAAGUACUAGAAUACUACUUUAACCCCCGAAGAAUAAGAAUAGUAAGCAAAAUACAUAUAAAGCGAAGUAACACUCAAACACAAACAAUUAGGUCACACUUCGAAACAAAUUAACAAACAUUUGGCUGUAAUAGAGUAUGAAUUCGACAAAAACUUAUUGAAAAAUUAAGGAAGAUGAACAAACCUGAAGUGAAUAAUCACAGCCCUAUAAGUACCUCGGAGUCGGAGAAUGUUCUUAGCAAUAAGCAGAGAAUUUUUUAGUAAAAAAUUAGAACUCUUUAAACUAUUACAGUAUAUUUUUAUUCUUA